rnacentral:rRNA from 1 species
UCCAGUUUAUCCUGCUGGCGGCUGCGGCUAUCUGGUUUGCACUAAGACAUGCAAGUUUUUUCCGAAAGGAAGGCGAACUGCUCAGUAACACGUAGCUAACCUGCCCUAUGGUUGAAGAUAUUCUCGGGAAACUGAGAUUAAAAUUCGAUAUGAUACGAUUUCUGGAACGAGUUGUAUCUGAAAAGCAAUGCCAUAGGAUGGGGCUGCGGCUGAUUAGGUUGUUGGCGGGGUAACUGCCCACCAAGCCGAUGAUCAGUAAGGGCUCUUAGCGGAGAGGCCCUGAGAAGGACUCUGAGACACAAGUCCUAGCCCUACGGGGUGCAGCAGUCGGGGAUUUUUUCCAAUGUGCGAAAGCAUGAGAAAGCGAGCCAGAGUGUUUCUCAAAAUUGAGAAACUUUUGUCAGCUGUAAAAACGCUGAAGAAUAAGGACUGGACAAGAUUGGUGCCAGCAGCCGCGGUAAUCCCAACAGUCCAAGUCGCAGCCACAAUUAUUGGGUCUAAAACAUCCGUAGCUUGUUUCGUAAGUCUCUCGUGAAAUUCUGUCUCUUAAGGACGGAGCGAGCGAGAGAUACUGCGGAGCUAGAGACCGGGGGACGAGAGGAGUACAGUCAAGGUAGUGGUAAAAUACGUUAAUCUUGGCUGGACUAACAAUAGCGAAGGCACCUUUCGACAACGGAUCUGACAGUGAGGGAUGAAAGCUAGGGGCGCAAAAUGGAUUAGAUACCCAUGUAGUCCUAGCCGUAAACACUGCACACUAAACAUCGGGAUCUCCUCGCGAGAUUCCGGUGCUGCACCGAAGGGGAGAAGUGUGCUACCUGGGAAGUAUAGUCGCAAGGCCGAAACUUAAAGGAAUUGGCGGGGGAAUACCACAACGGGUGACGCGUGCGGUUCAAUUAGAUUCUACACCGUGAACCUCACCAGGACCGACAGCAGAAUGAAGGUCAGUCUAAAGGGCUUACCUGACACGCUGAGAGGAGGUGCAUGGCCGUCUUAAGCCUGUGUCGUGAGAUGACCGGUUAAAUCCGGUAACAGGCGAGACCCGUGUGUAUAGUUGCUACCUGGAGAAGGGGCACUCUAUACAGACUGCCUUGGUAACAAGGAGGAAGGUGCGGGCUACGUUAGGUGAGUACGCCCCAAACGCCCUGGGCUACACGCGCGCGGCAAUGCUAAAUGCAAUUGGAUGCUACUCUGAAAAGAGACGCUAAUCCCCUAAUAUUUAGCUAAGUUCGAAUUGAGGAUUGAAACUCAUCCUCAUGACGCUGGAAUCCGUAGUAAUCGUUCGUUAUCAGCGGACGGUGAAUAAGUCCCUGUUCCUUGCACACACCGCCCGUCAAACCAACCGAGUUCUGCAUUGAUGAGGCUCUUCGGAGACGAGUCUUUGUAAGACAAGGUAGGUUAAGUCGACACAAGGUC